rnacentral:snRNA from 13 species
AACCUUGCGCAGUGGCAAUAUCGUAAUCAAUGAAGUUCUACUGAGAUGCGAUUAUUGCUAGUUGAAAACUAUACAUUCAACUUUCUUGUACAAUUAUUGAAAUUAUAAACCCAAAAUUCCUAUA